AUGAACGCUGGCGGCGUGCCUAAUACAUGCAAGUCGAGCGAACGGACGAGAAGCUUGCUUCUCUGAUGUUAGCGGCGGACGGGUGAGUAACACGUGGAUAACCUACCUAUAAGACUGGGAUAACUUCGGGAAACCGGAGCUAAUACCGGAUAAUAUUUUGAACCGCAUGGUUCAAAAGUGAAAGACGGUCUUGCUGUCACUUAUAGAUGGAUCCGCGCUGCACUAGCUAGUUGGUAAGGUAACGGCUUACCAAGGCAACGAUGCAUAGCCGACCUGAGAGGGUGAUCGGCCACACUGGAACUGAGACACGGUCCAGACUCCUACGGGAGGCAGCAGUAGGGAAUCUUCCGCAAUGGGCGAAAGCCUGACGGAGCAACGCCGCGUGAGUGAUGAAGGUCUUCGGAUCGUAAAACUCUGUUAUUAGGGAAGAACAUAUGUGUAAGUAACUGUGCACAUCUUGACGGUACCUAAUCAGAAAGCCACGGCUAACUACGUG
rnacentral:rRNA from 1 species